rnacentral:rRNA from 1 species
AUGCCGGAUCCGGUUAGCAUUACUGCUGCUGUGGGAUGGGGCGUAACCGCACUAGGUUGGCUCGCCUCGCCCAUCGUUCCCAGAAUCCUCAACAAAGGUUUCUCCUUCCUCGGCUUAAACGCGGCGGAGAAGCUCAAGAUAAUCGACACACAAGUUGUACAACUGCAGCGGGUGAUGGAAGUGGUGGACGAGAGCACUUACAGGCUUCGCUUGGAGCCACUCCUAAACGACCUUCGAUCCGCUGUCUACGAAGCCGAAGACAUCUUGGACAGUGUCGAGUAUCAGCGUCUCAAGAAGCAGAUCCAAGAUGCCAAGUCGGAAGGAAGUACGCCUCCACGUAAGAGGGAUUGGCUGAAGAAGAAGAUUCUUCCGUGUGCCAUGCCGAGCUCCCCAUUCAAAGACAAGGUCUAG